rnacentral:snRNA from 1 species
GUGCUAGCUUCAGCAGCACAUAUACUAAAAUUGGACCAAUUCAGAGAAGAUUAGCAUGGCCCCUGUGCAAGAAUGACAUGCAAAUUCGAGAAGAGUUCCAUAUUUUU